GACGAACACUGGCGGCGUGCCUAAUACAUGCAAGUCGAACGCACAGUUUAUACCGUAGCUUGCUACACCAUAGACUGUGAGUUGCGAACGGGUGAGUAACGCGUAGGUAACCUGCCUGGUAGCGGGGGAUAACUAUUGGAAACGAUAGCUAAUACCGCAUAAUAUUGAUUAUUGCAUGAUAAUUAAUUGAAAGGUGCAAUUGCACCACUACCAGAUGGACCUGCGUUGUAUUAGCUAGUAGGUGAGGUAACGGCUCACCUAGGCGACGAUACAUAGCCGACCUGAGAGGGUGAUCGGCCACACUGGGACUGAGACACGGCCCAGACUCCUACGGGAGGCAGCAGUAGGGAAUCUUCGGCAAUGGACGAAAGUCUGACCGAGCAACGCCGCGUGAGUGAAGAAGGUUUUCGGAUCGUAAAGCUCUGUUGUUAGAGAAGAACGGGUGUGAGAGUGGAAAGUUCACACUGUGACGGUAUCUUACCAGAAAGGGACGGCUAACUACGUG
rnacentral:rRNA from 1 species